UGCAGCUCCUGUUUUUUGUACACCCCAUAAACCAUAUCCACCAAUGGCUACAGAACAACCCACUUCAGCAGCUUAACUUCCCUUCUUUUUCUCCCUACCACACGCCAAACUUUCCACACCAAUUCCCACCAUCUUCUUCUAAUCAUUCUUCUCCCAAUUCCCUCACUUUCCCUGUCACCCCUCCAAUUUUUCUCGGAAAAUCUUAUUUCUUGCAUUUGAUCCGAUUAACAACAUGUUUCUUGGAUCUUGCAAAAUUUUAAGGGAAAAAUCCCUUUGCUUUUGUGAAGUCCAAUAACCAUCUCUGCUUUCCAUUUCUCUUGAAUCAUAUAUAGACUUGGAAAGUUAUUAGCUUUUCUUGUUCUGAUAUGGAGGUCGAAACAGAGCGGGUAGCUCACCAAGAUUGCCAUGUCAAUGGAACAAGGCACGUUCUGUUUGGGAAGUACGAGAUGGGGAAGCUCUUAGGCCAAGGGACCUUCGCCAAGGUCUAUAAAGGGAAAAACUUGGCUACCCAGGAGAGUGUUGCCAUUAAAGUCAUCCAUAAGGACCAUGUAAAGAAGAAAGGAUUAAUGGACCAAAUAAAGCGAGAGAUCUCUGUGAUGCAUCUCGUCAAGCACCCAAAUAUUGUCGAGUUGAAGGAGGUCAUGGCCACCAAAUCAAAGGUUUUCUUCGUCAUGGAAUUUGUGAGAGGCGGUGAGUUGUUUGCCAAAAUCGAGAAGGGAAAGCUCAUGGAAGAUUUGGCCAGAAAAUAUUUUCAACAAUUAAUUAGCGCGGUUGAUUAUUGCCAUAGCCGUGGAGUUUCUCACCGUGAUUUAAAGCCUGAGAAUCUUCUCUUGGACGAGAAUGGUGACUUGAAAGUCUCCGAUUUUGGCCUCUCCGCCCUUCCGGAGCAGCACUGGAACGAUGGGUUGCUACACACACAAUGUGGCACUCCGGCGUAUGUUGCCCCUGAGGUUUUGAGGAAGAAAGGGUACGAUGGUGCGAAGGCUGAUAUCUGGUCUUGUGGCGUUAUUCUUUUUGUUUUGCUUGCUGGGUACUUGCCAUUUCAAAACGCGAAUUUGAUGAAGAUGUAUGUGAAGAUUUUCAAGGCGGAGUACGAGUUCCCUCCCUGGAUUUCACCGGAUGCCCGGAGAUUGAUUUCCAAGCUUCUCGUUGUUGAUCCAGAGAGGAGAAUCGCAGUCCCUCAUAUAAGGCAAAAUCCCUGGUUUUGCAAGGGACUCACUAUACCCAUCACGCUUUGUAACGAUUCAGAAGAAAGCGAGAAGGGUCGCGAAGUUAUUGGUGAAGAAAUGAUUAAACUAUCAGAAACAAAUCAUUCUCCACCUUUCUAUAAUGCAUUUGAGUUCAUAUCAGCCAUGUCGUCCGGAUUUGAUCUGUCAAGCUUGUUCGAAAACAAGAAGAAAUCUGGUUCAAUGUUCACUUCAAAGUGUUCCGCGCCGGUGAUCCUAACAAAGUUGGAAUCAGCAGCGAAGGAGUUGAAUUUUAGAGUGGUGAGUGACUCAGAAUUUAAGGUGAAAUUGCAGGGGAAAGUGGAAGGAAGGAAAGGAAAACUGGCAGUGACAGCGGAGGUGUUCGAAGUAGCACCGGAAGUGGCGGUGGUUGAGUUCUCCAAGUCAUCCGGCGAUACUCUUGAGUACACCAAGUUUUGUGAAGCGGAUGUUAGGCCUGCCCUGAAAGACAUAGUUUGGAGUUGGCAAGGUGAAGGCAACUGCCACCAACUAGAAGGCCAUGUAGCUACAAGUUAGGUUUGGUUAAUUAUUAGCAAAAAAACAAAAUUAUAAAAUCAUCAAACCAGAAGUCUAAUAUUGUAGAUAGCAUUGUCCUAAACUUAAGUCCUAAACUUAAUAUCCUUGUAUAUUCUUUUAACCCUUUUGGUUUUAGGCAAUGGGUUGAAUGUUUUGUAAUGUUAAAUAUCAUUGCAAAUGGUUUUGAUUGUGUAAAUGAGGGAUUUGUUGAAGGGGCACUGCUAAGGACUUUGUCAGAUAUGAAAUUGUUUCCUUGUAUUUGUGUUUGAAAAUGGAAGGAUAGUUAAUGUUUUGAAUCACAAGGCCUUCCUUGUCUAAAGGCUAUCCUAUCCGAAAGAAUUAUAUUCUGAAAGCAUUCAGUAAUGGGAGUUAUGCCCAUAGCUUUCAGUUAUAGGAGUUAUUGCCAAUUGGAUGUGAAGAGCAAAUGGCAUUGUUGUUUGUUAAAAGAAAGUACAACUGCAUCAUCAAUUAAGUGCAACAAAAACUCUACAAAGGUAGCAACUGGGUAGCCAUUGAUCAACAAGAGUCCAAUGAGCAUACAUUGCAAGCCAACUAACCAUUGUCCUGAAUUCCACUGGUUGGAGGUCAACUUUUGUGGGUGGAUCAUGAAUUAUUAUUAUUAUUAUUACUACGAAUAAUACUAUAGGGAUCAUGUUGA
rnacentral:misc_RNA from 1 species